GAGUUUGAUCCUGGCUCAGGACGAACGCUGGCGGCGUGCUUAACACAUGCAAGUCGAGCGAAAGGAUUCCCUUCGGGGAUGAAUUUAGCGGCGGACGGGUGAGUAACACGUGGGCAACCUGCCUUAUAGAGGGGGAUAGCCUUCCGAAAGGAAGAUUAAUACCGCAUAACAUCAUUUUACCGCAUGGUAGUUUGAUCAAAGGAGCAAUCCGCUAUAAGAUGGGCCCGCGGCGCAUUAGCUAGUUGGUGAGGUAACGGCUCACCAAGGCGACGAUGCGUAGCCGAUCUGAGAGGGUGAUCGGCCACAUUGGGACUGAGACACGGCCCAGACUCCUACGGGAGGCAGCAGUAGGGAAUCUUCCACAAUGGGCGC
rnacentral:rRNA from 1 species